UACAGAGGGUGCAAGCGUUAAUCGGAAUUACUGGGCGUAAAGCGUGCGUAGACGGUUAUUUAAGUCAGGUGUGAAAGCCCCGGGCUCAACCUGGGAAUUGCAUUUGAGACUGAAUAGCUAGGGUGCGGAAGAGGGAAGCGGAAUUUCCGGUGUAGCGGUGAAAUGCGUAGAUAUCUGGAGGAACACCGGUGGCGAAGGCGGCAUCCUGGACCGAUACUGACGCUGAGGAGCGAAAGCCAGGGGAGCAAAGCGGG
rnacentral:rRNA from 1 species